GGUACGAGAGGUCUGACGGGAGGCAACGCCGCGUGAGUGAUGAAGGCUUUCGGGAGUCAGCAGGUAGAGAACUCUGUUGCUUACGGGAAGAAGAAGUGCUAGUUGAAUGAGCUGGCCUCCUUGACGGUACCUAACCAGAAAGGCCACGGCUAACUACGUGCCAGCAGCCGCGGUAAUACGUAGGUGGCAAGCGUUAUCCGGAAUUAUUGGGCGUAAAGCGCGCGCAGGUGGUUUCUUAAGUCUGAUGUGAAAGCCCACGGCUCAACCGUGGAGGGUCAUUGGAAACUGGGAGACUUGAGUGCAGAAGAGGAAAGUGGAAUUCCAUGUGUAGCGGUGAAAUGCGUAGAGAUAUGGAGGAACACCAGUGGCGAAGGCGACUUUCUGGUCUGUAACUGACACUGAGGCGCGAAAGCGUGGGGAGCAAACAGGAUUAGAUACCCUGGUAGUCCACGCCGUAAACGAUGAGUGCUAAGUGUUAGAGAGGUUUCAGGCUCCUUUAGUGCUGAGAGUUAAGGCCAAGUUAAGCACUCCG
rnacentral:rRNA from 1 species